AGGACGAACGCUGGCGGCGUGCUUAAGACAUGCAAGUCGAACGGAUCUGGUCCUUCGGGACCAGGUUAGUGGCGGACGGGUGAGUAACACGUGACCAACCAACCCCGAACGUUGGGAAUAGCUCUGCGAAAGUAGAGGUAAUACCGAAUGUGGUCCAGGGCGGACAUCCGCUCUGGUCUAAAGAUUUAUCGCUUCGGGACGGGGUCGCGGCCUAUUAGCUUGUUGGUGGGGUAACGGCCUACCAAGGCGAUGAUGGGUAGCUGGUCUGAGAGGAUGAUCAGCCACACUGGGACUGAGACACGGCCCAGACUCCUACGGGAGGCAGC
rnacentral:rRNA from 1 species